AUGCAGUCGCACGGACCUUUCGGGGUGAGUGGCGGACGGGUGAGUAUCGCGUAGGGAUCUAUCCAUGGGUGGGGGAUAACAUCGGGAAACUGGUGCUAAUACCGCAUGAUACCUGAGGGUCAAAGGCGCAAGUCGCCUGUGGAGGAGCCUGCGUUCGAUUAGCUUGUUGGUGGGGUAAAGGCCUACCAAGGCGAUGAUCGAUAGCUGGUCUGAGAGGAUGAUCAGCCACACUGGGACUGAGACACGGCCCAGACUCCUACGGGAGGCAGCAGUGGGGAAUAUUGGACAAUGGGCGAAAGCCUGAUCCAGCAAUGCCGCGUGUGUGAAGAAGGUCUUCGGAUUGUAAAGCACUUUCGACGGGGACGAUGAUGACGGUACCCGUAGAAGAAGCCCCGGCUAACUUCGUGCCAGCAGCCGCGGUAAUACGAAGGGGGCUAGCGUUGCUCGGAAUGACUGGGCGUAAAGGGCGCGUAGGCGGUUUACACAGUCAGAUGUGAAAUUCCAGGGCCUAACCUUGGGGCUGCAUUUGAUACGUGUAGACUAGAGUGUGAGAGAGGGUUGUGGAAUUCCCAGUGUAGAGGUGAAAUUCGUAGAUAUUGGGAAGAACACCGGUGGCGAAGGCGGCAACCUGGCUCAUUACUGACGCUGAGGCGCGAAA
rnacentral:rRNA from 1 species